rnacentral:rRNA from 1 species
UACGAAGGGGGCUAGCGUUGCUCGGAAUCACUGGGCGUAAAGCGCACGUAGGCGGCUUUCUAAGUCAGGGGUGAAAUCCUGGAGCUCAACUCCAGAACUGCCUUUGAUACUGGAAGCUUGAGUCCGGGAGAGGUGAGUGGAACUCCGAGUGUAGAGGUGAAAUUCGUAGAUAUUCGGAAGGAACACCAGUGGCGAAGGCGGCUCACUGGCCCGGUACUGACGCUGAGGUGCGAAAGCGUGGGGAGCAAACAGG